AGCGGAUUUAAAUGAAUCACAAUCCCACUACUUUCUUUUUGAGAGAGAAAUUUCAAACAGUCACGUCUUAGUGUAACAUAAAUGUUUGGUGUAAAAUCCAAAGAGAUGUGGAAGAAAUGUUCUAAAAAGGUGAAUAAAAAACAGUGAUCAAUCUCAUAACUGCUAUAAGGAAUACAAAAUAGGGAGUUGGGCAGACACGGACAUUUGGAUACACAAGGGCUGGGAUCAACUGCCUAGGAGGAAUAAGCAUCCCCUAUCAACCGGUCACAUCCGCCGUGAACCCUAUAACUUGAUCAGGUAAACUCCAAAUAGUGUAUUUCUGGGUAAAUAUAACAGUACCCAAGAUCUGUAUUGUUUUAGUGUUGUUGGUUGUUGGUUUUUUUUUAAUCAUUUUAUGUUUGUUUUAUUUCCCGAUAAGAUAGAACAAAACAUGAAAGAUUUUUCAACUAUUUUUUUCUUUUUGGUAUAAAAAUAUAUAACUAUUUAGACUUAGCCCUCGCAUUCUUUGGGAGGAAGGAACGCCAUUGGAUCGCUGAUUCCCACUUUUAAAUCGUAAUAACUGAAAAGAGAAAAGUGCACUUGCUAAAUGUAAUCAUAAAUUUGUAAACAAAAAGUAGAGAAACGUGAAUAAUUACGAUAAGACCCUUUAAUAUACUUCUUUAUUUUUUGAAAGAAACGUCAGGUCAUAAUGAAUUGCAUCAUUAAUUUCCACAAAUGUGAACAGUUGGCCUUAAAAAAUGAUAUCGGAGUAAGUGACGUAUACUCGUCAUGUUACCCAUUCUAGCGGAUGUUUCGUCUUGUAUCCCGACAGAAAAAUAAAACAUUAGUUCUUACGUGGAAUCUUCGAAUCCGUAUUUUUGUGUGAUAUGAAUGUUCUGAACGGGUACACAGUCAGGGGACGUCACCAGGGACACACGGGCCUCUGAAACAGAUUGAUUUACAUUGAUAUUAAAUUGAUGAUGAUUUUAAUUGAAAUACUGCUUGUGAUUAAAGAGAAAAUUUGAGCAAAAUAACCCCCCAAAAGAAUCUUUGGAAGAAAGUUGAUAAGACAAAUUACAUUUAUUUUGGUAUAUCAUUCUUCUUCCCAAUGAUUUGGCUACCAUGUAACUAACAUCAUCCAUUUUGUAAAAUGGAGAUACACGGGUAUCUUAAGCAAACUCAAAUAUUUUUAAAAAGUACAUCACAUGACAUCUUAAUGUCUAUUUCUGGAAAUAAGACUCUUCGAAAGACUGAUAAUGACUGAGCAUUAUCUCACAUCAUUCUAUAGAUAUCUAGUCCUUUUAAAUAGUCUUGAGUAGGCCAUCUACUGUAGUUGUCCUGAACUUUGACCUACCUCCUGUAGUGUUCAUGGAGAACCGCUGAACGGUAACUUGUUCAUUGGGAAGACCAGCACCACCGAUCACGGCCUCGAAUUCAAACUUUUCACCUGGGAAGGUACCACGUUGGAAGAAAGGUCGGUAGGGGACGGUGACGUUGCACUUUCUGGUUUUAAGGUCUACACGGUACAUCUUGUUCUUAAAGAAAUUAUAAAAGAUCUCCGUUCAAGGAAUCUGUACCGCUAGAUAUUACACAGAAAAAUACAAUACUGUAUGUUCUUCCACAGAAAAUUAGCACUGUACGUAAAAUGUCUAAAUAUUGAAGACGUUUACAAUGAUCAAAAUCAUUUUCUAUAGGUAGAAAUCAUUUUAAUUUUACUGUUCCAAAUCCCACGUGCGGUGGUUUAUCUCUUCUAACUCGUUCUAUAAAUUGGGAUAUAUCAUCAGGGACUGUUAAGUACUGUAAAAAGCAGCAUGGUAUUCCGAAUUCAUACCUCAUUCCACAAAAUGAGUUCAUCAUAAAAACUUCUGUCGCUUCCAAGGUCAAUCUCCUCCAGUCGUCUUUCGCGUCUGUUCGUGGCGUCAUAGACAAGACGACGCCGUUCCAUAAACUUCUGCGAGGGGUCUACCUUGAUAACGAAAUCAGUCAGAAAGGAAGUCUGAGACAAAAUAUAACAAAUGGAAAAACUGAACACUGUUGCAUAGAUAUAGAAGUUUUCCAUUUCUUUCUUUUUUCAUAUUCGAGAAAUAGAUAUAUGUGAACCGGAAUUAGAAUUAUUCACACUUACUUUGACUUCCCGGCAUUCCCAUUGAGGAGGGGAUUCUGAAGUAGAAAGAUUUAACAGUCAUAGUAUUCUUUUUGCAACUGAAUAGAUAUAGUUGAUUUACGAUUUCGUAUUAUAAAAAUACAUAGAUGUAGUUUUCCCAAAAUAUUUUCUGGAGCAGGACAAACGUCUCCGACACUCGAUCUUGUAAAUAGAAUUGCUUGAUGAUAAAUAAACAUUUGAUUUCAUCUCAGACACCUGGUACAAACAAAAACAAAAUGUUGAUAUUCAUUAUUUUGGUUUUAAUACAGAAAUAAAAUUCCUUUAAAAAAGAAUGGAAUUGUAAUUUUCUGCGAUGUUUAUUAACUCCCCAUAUCUUUCCCUCACUGUUUUGGACCUAAUUGGAAAAUCAUGGGAAUAACUUAGAUUGCAUACCGUAAAUUGUAUUUAAUUCCAAUAUAAAAUCAAAAAAUUAUUAAAUUUCACUUUCAUAAUUUUUAAAAAAAAGUUUGUUUCGAGCAAGAGUCGUUAAUGAUUACAAAUCUUUUCUACUUACGGCAAGGUUGAGGGACCUGUGCAUAAACAGCACCGACCACAACCAGAAGGGCAAGCAGAGAAAACAUCCUCGAGAGUUCUAACCGACCAAUGUUUUAUAAUUCAGAAGAUGGGAUACUUAAAUACCAAUGCUUGUGACUAAGAUAACCUACUUAUGUAAACUGGAGAAGAUUGUUUUGUCGUCAUGAAGUCAUAACGUCCCCCAUGAUAACGGAACACAAUCGUGCAAGAACAGGGGAUCUGUCCUUCAAAAUGAAAUCGGAGGCUUAGACUGCCAAAGUCAAACUGUGUCAUAACAAAGAGAAAAUUCAAUCAACUUACUCUUUAAUGACUGAGUUUAGGUGUAGUUAGCAAGUGGAUGCAUAAAUAUUUUUUUUAGGAUUUAGUCUUUUGCAACCAACACGUCUAUGUUUAAAUCCUCUACAAUCAACGCGCCUAGAUAUACUUUCUUUGAUUGAUUGAUUGUUUAACGUCCCACCCGAUAAUUUUUCACUCAUUUGGAGACGUCACCAUUGCCGGUGAAGGGCUGCAAAAUUUAGGCCUACGCUAGGCGCUUAUAGCUUUUGAUCAGGGAGGGAUCUUUAUCGUGCCACAACUGCUGUGACACGGGAUCUCGGUUUUUGCGGCCCCAUCCGAAGGACCGCCCCAUUUAGUCGCCUAAUACGACAAGCAAGGGGGUACUGAGGACCUAUUCUAACCCGGAUCCCCUCGGAACUUUUACUCCAUUUGUAUUCAACGCGUUAAGGUUCACUUCCUUUGCAAUUUACACGCCUAGGUUUACUUCCUUUGCAACCAAUGCGUCUUUGGUUACUUCCUUUGCAAUCAAAACAUUUAGAUUUACCUCAUACGGAUACACAUUUGUGAUUUAGGGUCUUGCAUUAUGCUAUUUUUCUUCAAUAGUUCUGGUAAGUGCAUUAGUACCGAACUAGUUCUGGUCUACAAUCAGUUAAUUCCUCUCCCAGCUGUGUCUUAUCAUGGAACUUACACCCAGUCUUCUGUAGUGAUGUGUGUGUGUGUGUGUGUGAAUGUUAGACGACGAACAGAAGACUUGUCCAUAAAUACAACAUAUCCAAGACCAGGUAUUGGGUCAAUAUGGUUGGAUUUCUGACCUACUUUGACCCAUACUGACCAACUUUCACCCACCUAAAGAAUCGAUUUGCAGGUUUCACUUGGUCACUCACCUAUACUUGUAAAUUAUCAGGCUUCCUGAAAGUUAUUUUAACACAAUACAUAACAUACUAUUUUCUGGGCGGCUAUUCCUUUCUAUGUCUGUGGGGUGCUUUGUUGAAUGAAACAUCAUAUAAAAGGUGAUGCAUUGGAGACAUUGACACACGAACAUUCUAAUUUCAUAAACUGUGAAACCUUUUUAAAAGUUUAUAUAUUUGAACAUAAAUUAUGCUUUUUUUUAAAUUGAGCUUUCAAAUUAAAUUGUUUCUUAAUUUCGUUUCCAUUUCUAAAUAGAAUAUUUCACAUUACAACUUCCGUGCGUUUCCUUGGAAAUAGUUUAGAAUAUACAAAAUUUUAUAGGCCAAUUUGAUGCUUUGCAUCAAAAUUAACAUGUUUUCGAAAAUUUGACAAUUAUUCAAUAUUGUUCGUAUCUGGUCAUUGUAGUGUUUUAUCAAUAUCCUUAUUUGAUCUCGUAUCUACCAUUAUUUAUAUCCGACACUUUUUAAAUGUUGAGUGUUGUUGGUUUUCAGUGCUUGCUAUAUCUAUAAAAUUCAGAAAUGCUGCUAGCUUCAGCCUAGUGUAGUAGUAUCAGAAAAUUAUCAGUCGAGUAUAUCAUUAUCAACUCAUUUAUUUAAUUAAUAUCUGGAAACCCAUAAUGAAUGGAUUCUAUGUUUUACACGUGCAAACUGCCAUUUCUGGGGGUACUUGUUGUAAAAACUUUGCAUAAAACCGAAAAUUCAUAAUAUUUGUUGAGUAAUGAAUAAAAAUGAAACGUAUUGAUUACAACAAUUUUAAAAGACCUUUUUCUAUAUCUUUGUUAUUAAAUGGAAUCAUAAAUGAUAAUAAUAAUAAAAAAAGAAAGAUUCCUCAUCUCCUAUAAACACAAGCAUAACUAGAUCGGCUGCCCCUAAUGAUCAGGAGUUCGACAAGCAGUGCUGUCCCCUUCUGCUCGUGCACUAAGUGUUAAAACCAUGACAACUGUGUUUUACAUAACAUAGCAUGAUACACGUGUUCUGAUUACAUGUUAUGUGAAUUUAAUUAUUUUGUUAUUUACCAAUCCACCUUCGUGUAUAAUGCAAAAUGUUUUAUUUCUGUAAACAAUGGUGCGUUUGUACUUGUCGGUGUUGCGUAAGAAAUUAGAUAAUUAUAUUCUGAUUCACAACAAAACCGUGCGGGGAAAAUCCAGACCGACUCUGUUUGUUUUCUCAUUAACAUUAUCACUCAAGUGGCUAAUAAAAACAAAUCCCAUAUUAAUGAAAAACAAGUUGAAUUACAAAAUGACUAAAAGUCUAUUUAGUAUUAUGAUGGUCUUGAAAACAAUGGAAUCAUGGGUGUAAUUUCUGUACAAUCCACUACGCCGACAGCGAGUUUUAAAAAUGCAUGUAACCCAUAAUAGCAAACAAGUCCUUUAUUGUUCAGAAGAAUAUAGCUGUGCAUAAAU